rnacentral:rRNA from 2 species
UACGGAGGGGGCUAGCGUUGUUCGGAAUUACUGGGCGUAAAGCGCGCGUAGGCGGUUUCUUAAGUCAGAGGUGAAAGCCCGGAGCUCAACUCCGGAAUAGCCUUUGAGACUGGGAGACUUGAAUCCAGGAGAGGUGAGUGGAAUUCCGAGUGUAGAGGUGAAAUUCGUAGAUAUUCGGAAGAACACCAGUGGCGAAGGCGGCUCACUGGACUGGUAUUGACGCUGAGGUGCGAAAGCGUGGGGAGCAAACAGG